AUUAAUAUUUCCCAUUAUACAUAAUUAGCCGCACACUCUCCCCCUGAUAUUGUUCACGUGACAAAACAUUUUCAGCAAACAUCACUUUCAUCAUAGCUCUGUAAGUGGGAUAUUGGAUUCUUCGUAUCUAAAAUGGUUAUCGGAGCCGCAAUCAUUGGUAUUCUGGUUGGCCUGUGCUCUGUCCAUGCCGAAUCGUGUGUAAGAUACGGUAACUUCACCGGCAUCGUUUUUGAGUGCCGUCGAGAUGAAGGUGGAAUGCUUGUUUUAUCAGAGCUGUCUGCAUCGCAUUAUGGUGAUGACACAGAGAUAACUAAGACAGACCUUGUGGAAGACAUCGAGGCUUAUUGCCGAAACGUAAUCCCAAAAUACAAGGAGUGUAUAUCUGGCUCAUCGGGUUGCAGAAGUGUGGACAUUCUGAAGACAUUGAUCAGUUAACAACUGACCGGGUGUCGAUUUACUGCAAUGGGGAAGGUAUCGCUGACUGGCUGAAAGAGUAUGUUUCCAUGGGUUUCAACUUCAGGUACUCGUGCGCUUCGCGUAUGCACAACAUAGCUAUGGCGUUUUAUUUCGAUCAGGUUUUCGAUUCGGAAGCAAAUCAACGUAGCGCAGAUAUGCACAGUAUCAAGAAAUAUAAUGAGUGGGCGAAAAGAGUAUCGGCUGACUUGUUUGAUUGCUCAAAAAAUAAGAUGCCUCAGCUGAACUCUGACCCAGAAUGUACAUCUCCUUGGCAAGACGCCCUCCUUGUUUUCUGGCUGUACUACUCCGCUUCGUUUGAUCCUGGGCUCAGACUAUAUUCAGAACAGAUAUCUGAAAUACUAGCUAUAAAGAAAUUAUCAGUCUAGACAUAUUGUCUUUGUUCCUGCCCUGGAGCAAGAGACCUAUAGUAAGCAAAAAACAAAUAUACACACUAACAUUCAAGACACGUAUUGUUUUGUCAAUAAAGACGUAGAGUGAGGCAAUCGAA
rnacentral:lncRNA from 1 species